UCCAUAAGUAUGUUCAAACCAGUCAAACCACUGUAUAGCAUCCCCUUCAAGAUGUAUAGCUGCAAUUUUCACCAUAGAUGCAUCCGCGAUUUUGUGGUACCGAAAAUAUCGCUUCGCGUGCAAGAUCCAACCAAUCGGGUCUCCUUCUUCCCAUCUAGGGAAGUCCACCCUUAUGCGUGGAUAGUUGGGAUCGAUCAUAGAGCCUCCCCUCCCUUGGAACUCAUCUCUUCGGGCCUGGUGCGAUUGGGCAAAGCUCUCUCCGUGAUAUGAUUUUUUCGGGCUUAGUAGUCGGCCCAAUCUGAGUUCGGUAAAGAGCGUCUGAAUCUUAUCCUCCAUUCGCGCCUCUAAGGCUUCGAAUUUAGCAUCGAUUGCCUCCUUAGAUGCCAUAGUAUAUGCCUCCAAAUCUAUGAUGUUAAGAUCUCUCUUUUGUUGUCAGGUUAAAGGCAUGUAUAGGUUGAGAGAAGUGAUGGUCGAAAGGGUUGGUGGAUCGGUGGAUGUAGGCUACGAUUUAGGCUUGUUUUGUGGCUAUUUUGGGUGCAGUUUGAGGGUGUGGUUUAGUGGAGUUUUAGGGCUGUGGAUGAAAGUUUUGGAUCUGUGGUAGAUGGCAGCAAAGGUUUGAGAGAAAUCAGUGGAAGUUGCAGCAAGUAUGUGCUGUCUUGUAAGAGCAGAAUUGUCGUCGAAGAAACAACGGUUUCUCGACGUAAUUUCCACCAAAAACUUGAGAGAAUUGAGGAGGGAAUUGAUAGCAAAAUCACAGUUUAUAUGACAGCAAGGAUGACUAAUUUAAUCAAGAAAAUUUCGGCAGUAUAAUAGCAAGGAAAUUGGUGCAAGUUGCGAUAGCAGAAUUCUCGUCGAAAAAUUUCAGCAGUUUACGAUGAAAAUUUAUAGCAACACAAAAAUCGGUUUUAGAGAUGAAUUCCUCAAUAGAUCAAUCUUAGAUGGAAGCCAAGAUGAUCUAUAAAGUGUAUAAGAAAUUUCAUUCAAAAAAGAUUGCAAAUAGAUGGGUUAAGGCAACAAUAUGCGGCUGAAAUUUUCUGCAGCAUAGAUUUUUAAGUAUAGCAGAUUGGACGUAAAAGAUCAGAAGUUUAUAUUGAGAAUUUUUUGAUGAAACCAAAGGGAAAUCCACUAUUAGGAAGUGUCAAAGCUAUCAUAAAAAUUUCGUAGAGAUUUGGAUAGAAACAACGUAGUAUCAAGAUCAAACAAUCAGUGCUAUGCGGCUGAAAUUUUACGGUGCAGAUUUUCAAGUAUAGCAGAUUAGAUGUAAAAUAUCAAUGGUUUAUAUUGAGAAUUUUUUGACAAAACCAAAGGGAAAUCUGUUGUUAGGAAGUGUCAAAUAUGUCAUAAAAUUUCGUGGAGAUUUGGAUAGAAAAAACAUAGUAGCAAGAUCAAACAGACAGUGCUAUACGGUUGGAAUUCUGCAAUGUAUCUUUCGUCGUAGAGAUGAAAACUUUAUGACGAAAAGUUUAUGCAGCAAUAUAGGAAUAAUUUUUUUGGGAUUUUCAAAUAAAGAUAACUAAAUUGCAGCAGUAGUAAGGUAGAAAACCAGAACCUGUUGCAAUUCACGGGAAGAUCAAAGGAUGAUUCGUGGUGGUGGAGAUGAUGACGGAAUUCGGCGAUGAUCUUUUAAGCAAUUGUGGGAAUUGCUUUGGACGGUUGUGGAGGGUUGAUGGAUGGCUGUGGAAGGGCAGCGAGACACCAAGAACGCUGCUCUGAUACCUGGUGUUAGAACCCUUGCAGAUUCUAAACUUGGGGUUGAUCUCUUUAGGGGAUCGGCCUCCUUGGAACUCUAUAGGGGUUCCUCCCUCCAAGUGCUGCUCAAAGGCUGCAGAAAAGUUUCAUCUAUUACUUGAGAAAAGAGGAGGAAUACAUGGCUAUUUAUAGGGCUUCUAAACCCUAACUCCUAAUAGGACUCCUACUUAAGACUCUUACUUCUAACCAACUCCUAAUAGGACUCCUACUCAAGACUCCUAUUCCCUUACAACUCCUAAUUCUUCUCUAAGAAAAAACCUCCUACAUGAAUGUCCCUCUCAAUUAGGACUCUCCUAGCUAGAGUCCUAACAGAAUGUCCCUCUCAAUUAGGACUCUCCUAGCUAAAGUCCUAACAGUUUUACAUGAAUGUCCCUCUCAAUUAGGACUCUCCUAGCUAGAGUCCUAACACUUGUAUACACCAGAAAAACUUCUUUCUAAAGGGAGUGAGCUAAUCAAUGAAUUGGGCCAAGCAUUUUCUUAAAAGAACCGAGGAAUUAAGGCUAGAUGACUGCCACUGGGCUCUCACAGAUUUGGCAGAGUUAGAUGGACAGUGUGGCUUUGCAUGUGUGAGGUAUGUGUUGUGAACUGCCAUCAAAUGCAGUGUGUUCUUAAGUCAACACAAUAUACUCCAUCAAACGCAUUUGGUGAACUUGAAAAGCUAUACCUUUGGAACAUGAAGCAUCUGGAACAGAUCUGCCAGGGGCAACUUCUGGCUCAAUAAUUUGGAAAAUUAAGAACUAUUGAUUUAAAAGGUUGCAAAAAGAUGAUUGUCAUAUUACCGCAAGAAUUACUUCAGAGAGUGCAUUCAAGUCUGGAAGAACUUGUUAAUGAUUUUGCUGGGCCGGAAGCAAUACUAAAUAUUGAAGGGCUUCCACAAGGAUCCAUUUUGCUGCCAAAUUUACGAACUGUAAAACUAUUGAACAUGCCCAAUUUAACUAGCUUCUGCACUGGAGCUGUUCCUCGUGGAAGCCUGCGGAACCUCACUCUGAUAGAAGUAGCUAGCUGCACAAAACUGUGCUCUCUGUUCUCACUGACAUUGAACUCAGCUCAUUUGAGAUUGCUACCAUCAGGUACUCUUACAAAAUUGAAGAAACUAAACGUGUCAAGGUAUCAGUAAAUUAAAAAUAACCAUGAGCUCCAACACUUGGAAAGAUUGGAGAUAAAAAAUAACCACUCAAUGAAGGUGAUUAUUCAGAGGAGAAUAGUGUUGUGUUAUAAAAGGAGGUUUUCCCCAUGCUAAGGAGUGUUCCUCACUGAGUUGCCCAAGCUGAGUUGUUUCUUACCAAAGAGAGCCAGGAGCCAGAACUUUGGAUUGACCAUCACUGAAAUAUAUGAAGCUGGAGGUUGUUCUGAAUCGAGGAGGCUCCCUAUUGGCCUACAAAGUGCAAAAAAAAGUUGAAAAAGGUGCAUGUUGUAGGACUUGAAAAUGCCGAAUGGUUCCACAACUUGGAAUGGGAAGAUAGAAGCAUCUGUUCAUGCUUUGAAGUCAGCCAAUCCGAUGCUGAAGAUGGAUAGGUACGCAUCCAUGUACUGGAGGAUGCAUUCUUUAGUGUGGUGUGAAGAUUUUACAAACACUCUUUACAAGUUUUGGCAAUAAUUAUAGAUCUCAAUAAAUGAUGAUGAGUGAUCGAGCAGUUGGUUAUAUUGUCCAAUUCAGAUAAGAUUUAUCUCCUCGUUCUCGAGUGGUGAAGACAUUUUUCUGGUGUGUUUUCGUGCUUGUUUGAUCAAACUUUAUAUAGUUCUUGCGAA